GUAUCAACGGGGUAGUGGUAACCUGGGUCGUUGCCAUCUGCAUAGACACCAUAUGUGGCUCGACCCGCCGGGGGUUCGAUUCCCUCUUGAUGCA